UUGGCAUAGUGGUUAAGUGCUGUGGCUGCUAACCAAAAGGUCGGCAGUUCGAAUCUGCCA
rfam:Loxodonta africana unplaced genomic scaffold scaffold_21, whole genome shotgun sequence.